AACGCUGGCGGCGUACUUAACACAUGCAAGUCGAACGGGGAUCGUCGGGUUAGCAAUAAUUCGGCGGUUCUAGUGGCGUACGGGUGAGUAACACGUGGGGCAACUUGCCCUAGAGCCCGGGAUACCCUCUCGAAAGGGAGGCUAAUACUGGAUACGUUCUUCGGUUCGCAAGAUCUGGAGAGGAAAGGUGGCGCAAGCUACCGCUCUUGGAGAGGCUCGCGGCCUAUCAGCUAGUUGGUGAGGUAACGGCUCACCAAGGCUAUGACGGGUAGCUGGUCUGAGAGGACGACCAGCCACACGGGAACUGAGACACGGUCCUGACUCCUACGGGAGGCAGCAGUGGGGAAUUUUCCGCAAUGGGCGAAAGCCUGACGGAGUGACGCCGCGUGGGGGACGAAGGCCUUCGGGUUGUAAACCCCUGUCAGAGGGAAAGAAGGGUGUCGGCGUGAUAACCGCCGGCACUUGACGGUACCUUCAGAGGAAGCCCCGGCCAACUCUGUGCCAGCAGCCGCGGUAAGACAGAGGGGGCAAGCGUUGCUCGGAAUCACUGGGCGUAAAGGGCGCGUAGGCGGGAUGGCAAGUCGGUCGUGAAAUCUCUCGGCUCAACCGAGAAACGUCGGCCGAUACUGCCGUUCUUGAGGGAUGCAGAGGAGACUGGAAUUCCCGGUGUAGCGGUGAAAUGUGUAGAGAUCGGGAGGAACACCGGUGGCGAAGGCGGGUCUCUGGGCAUUUCCUGACGCUGAGGCGCGAAAGCG
rnacentral:rRNA from 1 species